GGGUGAUUGGCUAUCGGGCGGCUGGCGGGUGUCCCCUUUUCCCUCACCGCGCCAUGUGCAUCCAUCCCGAAGCGACACGCUCAGUCGAAGAGGAUGACCAUGACCGAUAGAGGAGGACCAUUCCUCGGUCAAGAGCAUAUGAGUAGCUGCGCUCCCCUGAUAGAACCUCCAAACAAACUCUCAAGGAAUGUACCAACCAAAACCUUCUUCUUUUCUUCUUCUUCU
rnacentral:snRNA from 1 species